UUUCAUCUUAACAAGAUCUUGGUCCUGUUAUUUUGAAUUAUCCUUGAAAGGUGAUCAAUUUCAUUUCUAGUAUUGUUUGUUUAAUUUUAUGUCCUCAUACACAAGUAAAUGAAGUAUCUUGGCAUUCUCCCCCUAGCAUGGCUUAGCCAAAUUCACAUCGUUCUGCUUAUUUUUCUGUUUUCUACACUUUUGUUAAAUUUUCCAUCACUAUACAUGCCAAUUUCCCCCUACUCCUGGUAGCAAGUUCUGCAUUGUCUUUUCAGCUCUAUUAGCAGUCUUAAGAAUUGUCAAACCUCCAAGUCCUGCUCAGUUCCAAAGCCAAUGUCACUUGUUUUAGCCUUUUAUUUUGGGAGCACUAGCUCACUUCCAAAUACUAUUAUAGGAAUGUACAGCCAUGCAACAAACUACUCCAGGAUUUUGUGUUAAGACAAUCACUAGGCAGGGUCUGGAUGGAUGGCUUAUUUCUGUCCCUUGUGGUAGCAACUGGUGUAGCCAGAGCUGAGGAUCAACUUCCAGGUUGGCUGCAUUAGUAUCUUAGUGAGCCUGAUGCUUCGAUGAUCCUUUUUCUCUGUCACUCACUCAUCUGCUCUCUCAGUCUCCCUCCUCUCACAGUAUCUCACCAUCCAAUGCUUUUUCUUAAAGAUUUAUUUGAAACGCAGAGUUAGUAGAGAGGGAGACACACACACACACACACACAGAGAGAGAGGGAGAGAGAGAGGAAGAGAGAGCGAUGUCUUCCAUCUGCUGAUUCCUACUCAAACACUCAAAUGGCCAUGGCCAUCAGGGUUGGGCUAAAGCCAGGAGCUUCAUCCAGGUGUCUCACAUGAGUGGCAGGGGUCUGAGCACCCGGGCUGUCUUCCACUGCUUUUCCCAGGUGCAUUAGCAAGGACCUAGAUUGAAUGUGUGGAGCAGCCAGAACUUGAACCAGCACCCAUGUUGGAUGUCAUCAUCGCAGAUGGCAGCUUUAACCCACUGUGCCACAGUGCCAGCCCCUCCUCCAUUGUUUGACAGACAGCUUGAGUGUCUCACAAAAUGGUAGUCUUAGGUUAUUUGCACUUCUACAAGAAAGUAACAAUGUACAGCUAGACGUGGCAUCUUAUCUUUCUGCCAUACCUUGACCAAACCAGUCAUAGUACACAUUCAGAUUCAGAGAGUCAGAUAAAGUUUUUUUCUCUUAAGAGGAGAGAGACCCAAUCACAUUUCAGAAGAGCGUGUGAGAUUUGCGAUUUUGUCGAGACCAUCUUUCAUAAAUAUGGUUGACACAUCUGUGCUGUUGCCACCCUUCAGCUCAGACAGCAUCAGGGUGGACAGGAAGCUGAGAGUAACAUCAAGGGAUCCCAGGGUGCAGCCUCAUUGUGGGGUGCUGGACAGGCAGAGGAGCUUGCUGUCUUCCAGCCUACUCCACACCUGAUCUCUGUAGGGCUGAUCAACCAUAAAAGUACUUGGAUGCCCUGGACCAAGAACAGUAUUAGGACAUAGAUAUUGUAAGAUGGGAUUGGGGACAGGGACUGGUUAAAGAAAGAUGCAAACAUUAAGAAAAUUUGACCUAUCAAUAAACUUACGUGGAGAAGAGCAACUAGAGCUCGGUUUCUUGUUUUUGUUUUUUCUUUAUGUAAAAAUCAUAACCAAAGCAUCUGCUAGUCCUAAGGGACUAAUGUGUUACAUCACACUUCUUAUGCAAGAACUCUAAUAUCUAUACAAUCAAUAACCUAAUAUCUAUACAAACAUAACAUAAAAUAUGAAAACUUCACAUCUAUCUGUAAGGUUUGCAGUGGGUUGGGAUACCUCUUAGAAUGGCUGCAUCCUAAAAUCAGAGUGCCUGGGAUCAAGUCCUUCCUCUCCUUUCCACUUCCUAUCCAGCAAGUUGCUAGUAUGUCUAGGAGGCAGCAGAUGAUAGCGCAAGCACUGAGCAAGAGAUACUGAAAAAAACUGUGGUGGAAGAUACCCAAGUGAAAGAAGUAAACUGGGAUUAAAAUUUAAAAUUAGGCAAAUAGAGCCUAGGGAAAGGAUAACUAAAAAUGCUGUUGUGUACUGAUAGAAAAAAUUAAUGUGCCAAGUAGACACAAUGGUACCGUACUUAGAUGCAGGAUAAAAUAUGCCCUCAAAAUUAUUUCGAAAGUGAAAAAAUACUGAGAGGAUUAAAUUAAAUAAUAAUUGUUCUUGAAGAUUUUUACCCUGGUCCUCUCAUAUUCUGUCACACUAAGUAGAUAGUAGGUUACAUUCACACCUAUUGUCUCCUUUUGCUCCACAUUAGAAUGAGACGUUCUUCCUGAAAUCCAAAUACCCACCGUGGUGUUUCCAAUGAACAUCUUAUACUCAAUCUGAAAAUUCAUUUCAAAUUUUUUAUAGCUUUUUUGAAUAUGUUUUCAGUACAGGUUUUUUAAAAAAUAUUUAUUUAUUUAUUUGAAAGAGUUACACAGAGAGAGGAGAGGCAGAGAGAGAGAGAGAGAGAGAGAGAGGUCUUCCAUCCAAUUGUUCACUCCCCAACUGGCUGCAAUGGCUGGAGCUAUGGCAAUUCGAAGCCAGGAGCCAGGAGCUUCUUCUGGGUCUCCCACAUGAGUGCAGGAUCCCAAGGACUUGAACCAUCUUCUACUGAUUUCCCAGGCCAUAGCAGAGAGCUGGAUCGAAAGUGGAGCAGCUGGGUCUCGAACUGGCGCCCGUGUGGGAUGCUGGCACUUCAGGUCAGGGCAUUAACCUGUUGUGCCAUAGUGGGGACCACCAGAAUAGUUUUAAAUUUACAAAACAAACGUUGUGAGGUAGUAGUACAAAGAGUCCCCUUAAGUCCUUCGACUUACUUCCCCUAUUAACAUCUUAUAUCAGUAUCUGUCACAAUUAUUGAACCACACCCAGGUCUUUAAAAUUGGAAAACAUUUACAAUAGAUGUUACAGCUUUAGCCAUUGCAACACAUACUACGAUGAUCCCUGAGUAUUCAGGGGAUAGUCAAGGUAAUGCCACAUUUAUUAUUUGCAUAAAUAUCUAGUCAUGACAAUAACCUUAGCAGACAUUUGUCUUUUUUUUCAUUUUUUGUUUCCUUCCAAAUUAUUUUACAAAUGCCAAAGUCCUCCAGGGAAGAACAAAGCUCUUAUAUAAAGGGUCUUCUUUUUGAGUUUUUGUUUUCUUUUUCAAGAAGACUUUUUAUUGAAUAAACCGACAUUAGAUUUGCAAGGCAGUGAGAGAAGAAGGUCAGGUUGAUUCAUGGAGAGCCAAUGUGUUGAACUAAAAUAAUCCUUCUUAGACAGUCACGAAAUAUGUUUUGGAAAACCAAGGUCAACUUAAAUAGGCAAAUUUGCUAAUAGAAUAGAUGGUUUAUUUUUGGAAAAGAAUGCUUAUUUCCCAAUAAUUUUGAUCCAUCAAAAUAGGAAAGAGGAUUCAUAAAUUAAAGUAGAGAUAGAAAUAAAAGAGUAGAUAGAUGAACUAAUUGAUAAUUAUGGAACAAAUGAAUGCUCAUAUAUUAAAAUAAUAUCUUAUUUGUGUAGAAUUAACUUUUAAGUAUAAUUCUAUUCAUCUCUGUGAAAUAAAGGAUUUGCCUUUUCUUAGAAAACUUGUAUAUUAUUUUAAAGAGGGAACACAUUGUUCCAGUUGCUCUUAGCAAUAAAGAUUUUUUUAUAAUGUAUUCUUAGUAUAUACCUUUGACUCAUAUUCAUUUAUUUUAGGCAUACAACUCAGGAUUCGUAACUGCAUGCAUAUGGAUAGAGAUGCUUGAAAAGAAAACCUGCUCUUCUGGAAUCCUGAAUGUAGAAUUAAAGCCUGUCACAGAAGCAGAAUUUGGAGGAAAAAAAUGGAGGAUGGGAUAGAGUUCUAAAAGCAUUAUUAAAAUAUAAUGUGUCUGUACUUGCUUAGGCAAUAAGGAAGUAUUCCACUGAUGUAUCUUGGAUUAUGAUUUAUUUUGGUAAAGUACUUUGAGACAUCUCAAAAACUGCCAUUUCUUUAAUAGAGACUCUCAAAGUCAUUCGCUUCUCAUCAUUUUACUGUAAUUUAAUACAUCUUUCUAUGAUAUACUUUCAAUUCAUCUUAAAAUUCCAAUCAUCAAUAUGACUCAGCAUGACUGGCUAUGCAUACACAUCAGUUGGUUUAUGUAUUGAUAUACAUAUUGAACUGAAGAGAGAAUUUGCACUUGCUUGAUUACUCUGUAUGAUGUAAAUUUGUUGACAACUCUCAAUCUUUAUAAAGAAAUAUUAUAGGACAUUACAUAAAAAUAUACAGUUGAAACCAGAUUUGACUAGGUUUUUUAAAGAUUUAUUUAUUUAUCUGAAAGGCAGAGUUACAGAGAGGCAGAACAGAGGUGUGUGUAUGAGGGGUCUUCCAUCAGCUAGUUCACUCCCUAAAUGGCUGCAAAGGCUGGAGCUGGGCCAAUCUGAAGCCAGGAGCCAGGAGCUUCUUUUGGGUCUCCCACGUAGAUGCAGGGGCCCAAGCACUUGGGCCAUCUUCUACUGCUUUCCCAGGGCAGAGCAGAGAGCUGCAUUGGAGGUGCAGCAGUCGGGACUCGAACUGGCAUCCAAUGGUAUGUCAGCACUGCAAGCAGUGGCUUUACUCACUUGACACAGCACUGGCCCCUUGACUAGUUUUUUUUUCUUGUUUUUUAAAGGUUUAUUUAUUUGAAAGUCAGAGUUAACACAAAGAGAGAAGGAGAGGCAGAGAGAGAAAGAGGCUGCAAUGACUGGAGCUGUGCCAAUCCAAAGCAGGGAGCCAGGAGCUUCUUCUGGGUCUCCCACAUAGGUGCAGGAGCCCAAGGACUUGAGCCAUCUUACACUGAUUUCCCAGAACACAGCAGGGAGCUGGGUCAGAAGUGGAGCAGCUGGAACUCAAACAGGCGCUCAUAUGGCAGGCUGCAGGUUUACCCACUAUGCCACAGCUCCAGCCCCUUGACUAGUUUUUAAAAUGUGUAUUCAUUUCUAUUUAUUUGAAAGAGAGAGAGAGAGAGAGAGAGAGAGAGAGAGUGCUUCCAUCUGCUGAUUCACUUCCCAAAUGUCAGCAACAAGCUGAGGUUGAGCCAAGCUACAGGUAGGAGCCGGGAACUCCAUCUUGGUCCCCACAUGGACUCAUUACUUGAGCUGUCAUCUGCUGCCUCCCAGGCACAUUAGCAAGUUGUAGGACUGGAAGUGGAGGAGAAGGGAGGACUUGAUCUCAGGCACUCUGAUAUGGGAUGCAGCUACUCUAAGAGAUGUCCCAACCCACUGCACCACAAUACCCACCCCAGGUUUGACAGUAUUUUGUUAUGGAAAAUUUCCAAGCUAAGACACAUACAUACCCCAACACACCCAUACACAUAAAGAAGCUUGAAAAUUUAUCAAAUAAGAUAUAUUGAGAACCUACUUUUUUGAUUUACCCUAAAAUCAAAAAAACAGAUUUUGUUUCUCAUUUUGACUUAUCCUUAAAAAAAUCAAAACUAUAUAUUGUAAGAGAGAACCAAGGUAGAAAGCUCAGGAGAAGAUUCACUUUUAGAAGACAACUUAUGGCCGGCGCCGCGGCUCAAUAGGCUAAUCCUCCACCUUGCGGCACCGGCACACCGGGUUCUAGUCCCGGUCGGGGAGCCGGAUUCUGUCCCGGUUGCCCCUCUUCCAGGCCAGCUCUCUGUUGUGGCCCAGGAGGGCAGUGGAGGAUGGCCCAAGUGCUUGGGCACCUGCACCCACAUGGGAGACUAGGAGGAAGCACCUGGCUCCUGGCUUCGGAUCCACACUACCCCGUCGGUGGCAGCCAUUUGGGGAGCGAACCAAUGGAAGGAAGACCUCUCUCUCUCUCUCUCUCUCUCUCUCUGUCUAACUCUGCCUGUCAAAAAAAAAAAAAAGACAACUUAUAGGAUGCUAGUUUUCAAGGACCGUAGUAUCUUAUUUGAUCAUCUGUAACUUUAAAAACUUUAUAAAUUUCUACAUGAAUAUCUAUUUGUUCUUUUAAAAAUGUGACAAAAUACGUAAGAUAAGCUAGGAAGACACUGAAUGACAAUGUUUUCUAAGAAGCGGGAUGCAUUUGUUGAUUAAUUAUUUAUUAUAAAAAUGCUCAUAUACUUUAUUUUUAAAGAAAAACUUUUGUUUCCUUUAAAUGAUAAAGAAUUAACAUAGUUCACUCCCCAAAUGGCUGCAAGGGCUGGAGCUGGGCCAAUCUGAAGCCAGGAGUUUAUUCUAAACUCACAGAUUUCUGAUAAAAUGUACAAUGGGUGGGUACAUUUUUGAUAACUUUUGUUUCUGAAAAUUACUAAAUCUACUCUCAACCAUCAAUUAUAUCUGGCUAAGUAUAUAAUUCUACAUUCCUAAUUGCAUUCAUCCAUAUACAUCUUCCUUGUUAGUCCAGAUUCUGGUUUUCAUCAUUUCAGUGCCCUGCUGACUCACAAAGCUGUGUGUGUGCGGAUCACCCUCACCCCAUCCCAUGUGGUGACUUUUGGGACUUGCUAAAUUUCAUAAGCCGGUAGUCAAUGUAUGUUUUUUAUUUUUUAUUUAUAUAAGGUGAACAAAUAUGUAUCUCAUAUAUACAGAUCUCAGAGCAUAGUGAUACUUUCCACCCUCUCCUCUCUCCCCAACAUGCUCCACAUUCCCUCUUCCUUCCUUUCUUAUUUUUUCUUUGAAUAUUUACAGUGAUAGCUUUCAGUUUAUUUUGUAAUCACAAGUUUAACCCUCAAUCAAAUAAAGAAUUCAGCAAGUAGUAAGUAGGGAAGCUGCUGUUCCUAAGAGUAUAGACAAGGGCUGUAACAAUAAUAAAAUUUAAAAUGUCAAUUUCACUGAUAUACAUUAUAUUUUUUGUGCUCUGUAUAUUUAUUAUCACAAAUUCAGUGAAACAUAUGGAAUUUGCCGUGGGAACUGGUUUAUUUCCCUAAGCUUUGCAACAAUAUGGAAGCAACUAUAAGUCAAUAUAUCAUUUAAUUUGAGAAUAUUUGAAUUGUUGCUCUGGAGUUAGAAAAAAGAAUAUGAAAACAGGAGUUGAGCUGCACUCCCAGGGACUUGCACUUGGCAUAGUGGAUAAAGCCACCAUUUGCAACAUCCUGAAUGGAUGCCAGUUCAUGUCCAGGCUGAUCCACUUCCCAUCCAGCUCCCUGCUAAUAGCCUGGAAACACCCUGGAAGAUGGAACAAGCCUUGGCCAUUGCAGCCAUCUGGGGGAGUGAAGCAGUGGAUGGAAGAUUCUCUCUAUCUCUCUCUCUCUUUCUCUCUCUCUCGGCUUCAAAUAAAUAAAAAUAAAUCUUUAAAAAUAAGGAGGAUGCACUCCAAAACUUGUUGAUGUUAUGGAUAUUACUUUUUCUUAUGUGUGCAUUCUAAAUUUUCUCUAAUUUGGGUGUUGGUUGUGGUGAUAGAAAACAUAUUCAAUAAAUGUGUCUUUAAAACGGUUCCGGCAUCACCUCCCAGCACGUUUCAGGUGUCUCUGUUUUUCCCAUGGUCUGUUUUCUACCUGAGAGGAAAUGUCAGCGUGAACCCCUCAGCACGGUGGUGAGUACCUUCUCGCCUCUCCUUGGUAAAAGUGAAGCCACAUGCCCCUGCCAAAGUCUACUCUUGGCCAGGAGCAAAGAAUCAAGAGGAGGAGUUGAAGUGUCAGACUUGUCCCACCAGGACUGCGGUGAGGUUCCUCGCUCUUUUUGAAAGCACCUGAUGUGUGUGGUGGAACAAUCAGCAUGUAAACUUAAUAUGUGCUGUUUUCCAUUCUCUGUGUAAUGAAUGUCGGUUUGUUUGGUUAUCUGAUUCCUUCUUUCUGUUGUUUUAUAUUGUGUGUGUUAGAUAAGAACAGUUUGUCUUUUUCCCCUCAGAAAAGCAAACACUAGGAAUAAGUUUGAACUUCAUAGAGACAGCUUUGCAGGGCCACAAAACCCUGGGUCUAAAGGUGAAAUGGGAAAAUGGGGAGGACACGGGGAUUUUGUGAAGGAUAAAUGUAUUUGUGUGAGUACAUUUUUGUAAGCAUGUGUUUUAAAGUAGGAUAAAGAAGGAAUAGAUUUUUUUUGUGUCAAAAGAGAAACACAGUCCUAGAUGUUUGUCAGACCAUCAUUAAUUCAUCAUUUUGUUGAUAUUAACUUCAUUUCUACGAAGAUACUCAUUUAUUUGUUCAGAAUCUGAUUCAAGCAAUAUUUAAAUUGAUGAUGAUGAUGUCUUAAACUUUGCCAGUUAUUGGUUUGGACAGGAGACUGCAUUUUUUUAGUAAGGAAAUUUUCCUUGAUCUUCAAGAGAAAUAUUAGACGGAGGCUUACUUGCUUUCUAUGACUUUGUUACCACGCAAGUCUUCCUUCCUUGAUUACAGCUAUGUUUCAAAAGCAAUGCUCCAGUUCAUUUGCAGUUUUGAGUCUGAAGAUGCCAUGCCAAUGAAGAAUUCCAUUCUUUAGGAAAAGAGGAAAAGCCAAGAGAACGGCAGAUGUGAGGGCUCAGGAACAUUGCCAUCGGAAACCUUCACUUUCCUUGAAUUUCCUGUCAUAAAAAUGCACAGAUUUGUCAAUGGCUUACAUCAUGAUUUGCUGUACUUCCCUUCAGAUGCAAAUCAACCCCUUCAAACUAUAACCCUUUGAGAGAAGAGAUCAUCUUAGCACUACUCUAACAAUUUGUCUUUCUGGCUUCUCCCAUUACUCUGAACAAGGUCCAAAAUCUGCUUCAUUCUGUCAGUGUAUAAAUAUGUUAGCUAGCGUAAAGCAUAAUAAAUCAACAACAUCAAUGCAAUGAAAUGCUUAAGAAAUGGAAAUAUCCUCUGUAAACAAUAUACAGUGAAACUUUUAUUUUUAUUGACCUCAAUCAAUAAUGAAGUAGUGCAAAAAUAAUUGUAAACAUGGAUAGGAUGUCAUUGAAUGGAUGUUUUAUGGUUGCAGAAAAAUGAGAAAUCAGAAGAGAAGUGGAGUACUAUAGUUCUAUAAAUAUUCAUUUUAAAGGAAAAUACAUCAUCUGUUAAUGGAUUUAAUCUCUUUAUUCACACAGGUUGUUAAAUGCGCUUUGGGGUGUGCAUUUGGUGCAAUGGUUAAGACACUGCUUGACAUGUUCACAUCCCAUAUAGGAGUGUUUGGUUCGAGUUCUGACUCCUCUGCUUAUGAUCUGGCUUCAUGCUAAUGUGCACCUUUGGAGGCUAAUCAAACUGAAUCAUCAGCUUUCUGAGUCGAGCCUUCUAGCAUUUGGACUGGAGCAGUGCUGUCAGGUCUCCUGAAUCGUGGGCUUUCAGACACAGCCAGGAACGAAACCAUCAGCUCUUCUACGUCUCCUGGUUGCUGACUCAUCCUGCAGAUACUAGGACUUUUCAGGCCCUGUGCUUUGUGGUGCUAUCUUCAUUUGUUAAUUCCAGUGAAGAAAUCUGCUUUUUUAAAAAGAGAUACAGAAUCCUCUUCCCAACUGUACAGGAAAUCAGAAGAUUGAAGUUUACCCUGGAGGAUCCUUCAACCUUUUGACUGCUACACACAUAAAAAAUACCUUUUUGCCUUGGCACUUUCACAUUCGUCUCACAUAUAAAACAUAUAAGCAUUUACAAGCACACAUGUGUCGACACACUUGCAUCCCUCAUAUAUAACUGAAAAAAUGUUUUCUGAAAAGGUACUUUUUUUUACCACAGUGUACAUUCUUUGUUUUUCUAUAUAAUUCUGCAUUAUUCAGGUUUCUUUGUUCUGUAUUAUAGUGUGUUCAAUUUGAUUCCAUUCUGUUCGAUACAUUCCAUGCCAAUGCUUUCCAUUUUAUACUAUAAUAUAUUACUCUAAUUUUUAUUUUAGUAUGUUAGUCAUGCUCUCCCAAUUAAUUAGACACCAGAUUAGUGGGUCACACCUGAACUGUGACCCAACACUGGAUGAAAACUUUCUAAGCUAGUGUUUAGCAUACCAAGGGAAGCAAAAUCUUUAGAAAUCAAUAAAUAGAGAGUAGGUACUUAAAGACAGAAUCUAUUUGAAUAAACAAAGAUCAAGACUGGGUGCUACAGUCCAGGCAGCAAAAGGCAGUCUGUGACUACUGUGACUCCUAUGGGUCAUGUUAGAAAUGUGUUUUACUCUGAUGUACCCUCAGUUUUCUAUCGUGGCUUUGGGGCCUAUGAUUUUGAAUCACAUGGAUACAGCUCAAUGAAGCACUUAUGCCAGCAGUUCCCUUUCUCUGAACAGUAUACACUCAUUUGUUUAUUUGUGUUAACACAUUUUUAUUAAUUACUAGGAGCUAUGCACUUAUAAUUUACUUAACACUGACACCCAAAAUUUAUAACUCCAUGAAUCAAGUGUAUUUUAACCCAAUUUUCUAGAUGGGAAGACUUGGAUAGAAAGAAAUUAAGUGAUAUACCAAGGAGAUAAUUCAAACAUUGGCAGUUUUCUUGCAGAAUCAACAUUUUAAAGAUUUAUUUAUUAUUUAAACAUACACAGAGAGAGAGAGAGAGAGAGAGAGAGAUUUUCACUCACUGGUUUAUUUCUCAGGGCUGUGCCAGGCUGAAGCCAGGAACCAGGAGCUUCAUCCAGGUCUCCCAUGUGGGAGCAGGGGCUCAAACACUUAGGCUAUCUUCCACAACUUUUCACAUGCAUUAGCAGGGAGAUGGAUCAGGACUGGAGCAGUUGGGACUUGAACUGGUGCCCAUAUGAGAUGCCAGCAUCAGAGGCGGUGGCCUUAUCUGCUACAUCACAAUGCCAGAUCCCAGAAUCCAUAUUUUUAAACAUUAGAUCAUGUUGCCUUUCUACUGUGUUACCACUUGUUUAAUUGAGUGAACAGAAGACUGUAUUAAUGGGUAUAUGAAUUAAUGGUUAAAUGGAUGAACAGAGUACCUAGAUGAUAAAAAUAAUACUUGGAGAUGAUGAUGAUCUCUAAAAAUAUUCAGUUACUAGAAUUGUCAUUUAGAAUUAUUUUAUAAAUCAAACUUAAAAUUGAAUUAAAUAAGUAUCAUUUAGAUAAAUAAUAAAGAAACUAUUAUUUGCUUAUUGUUUAAAAAUUAUUUUAUCUGAAUGGCAAGGAGACGGUGAAAGAGCCAAACAGAAAGAGCUCCUACCUGCUGACUCACUCACCGAAUUCCCCUAGCAGCCAGGGAUGAGCUGGGCUAAGGCUGAAAGUCGAGAUUUGAAUCCAGGUCUUCUCCAUGGCUGGCAGGAAGCCCAACUGUGGAAGCAAUCACCUGUCAUCUCCCAGAGUGCAUUUGAGUAGGAAGCCGGCAUCAGGAGCAGAGCUGGAACUGGAAUCCAGGCACUGAGACCUGUGAUGUGGGCAUUGCAAGUGGCACUGUGACCCGGAGGGCAGAUUCCUGUGCCUAUUUGCUUAUGUUCAGAGAUAAAAAUAUUAUCUCCAAGUUGUGGCUAUCGAUAAAUAGCUGCUUUAUAAGAAAAUCCAAUGUUGAGUCAUAAGUUGAAACAACAUGUUUUUGUUUUCUUUACUAUAAUACCUGCCUAGAGGCAAAAUCAAAGCAAUUAUAAGCCUUCUUGUAGAAACCUUUAUAAAAACAUAUUCCCUGGAGUUGUAUAAAGAGAUGGUCCCACGGCCACUUUAGUUUAGGCUAAAGUCAUUAUGCUGAGAAUGAAAACAUGGAAAGGGAGAGGGGGUCUAGUUGUUGAUGAAACCAAUGGGUUGUAGAAAUUAGCUUUAGAAUUUUAUUUAAGUGAUUAAUCCAUGCUGUAAUUGUUAGUGAAAUUUUAUUUUCAAUAAAAUGCAUGGUACUUUUCCUUUAUUACACUCUAAAAUUUGGAAGUUGUCCAGUUUUUAUAGUACAUCCAGAUUUGUCAGUAUUUAAAUUCAACAGUCAAUAAUUAAAAUACAUUUCAGGAAAAUCAGUAUUUUGAAGAACUGACCUAUGCCACCAUAUGAAAGUAGAUUAAUGAUCAGAAAAAUAAACCAUCAAGUGCAUUAAUUGCAGCUAGUAAUGCCAGAAAUCACAACAUUUUUUGUCCAUUCUCUCUCUCUUUUUAGUUCUGUUCCCAGAACCACAAAUAGCCAAAAUAUUAUGAGUAGAGUCAUUUCCCAGGUGGUGAGCUGCAGAGACUUGCUCAGAGAGGGACUGGGUGUCAGGAGAAGCAGAUCAUGUGCGGGAGACACAGGUAGAGCCCACAAUCAGGACUUUGCCAGGCUUGAGGUCUUCACGUAUCUGUGCUCCUGAUACACACUGGUGGGAGGGGAAGAGCCACAGGCACUCCUUCCUGCCCCAUGCACACUCAUUCUCAUGACUUUUCUUCCAUGCUCACAAAGUUGCUGAUUUUACUCCUUCAAAUAUAUUAAACUAAAAAAAUAAAGAGAAGCAUAUGAGCUAAUCUUUAUUUUAUUUUCUUUCCCUGUUGCUGUUGCUUAAGGCAAUUUCUAAUAUCUUGUGAGAAGAUGAAUGGUAGGCCUGAGUGUUUAUUCCAUUUCACCAACUAUUAAAGCCAUGCAUGGUGGCUCAAAACUCCACGUAUCAAUUCCAUUUUCCAUGUUCAGCUGUUGAUCAGUUCCAUCAGCACUUGGACUGUACACACUUUGGGCCAAAGAUCAGAAGAGAGGAAAAUACCAAUUUGUUUCCAAAUAAUUUCUUGGUCAUAUUUUGCUCAGCAGACAAAAGACAAAAAUCUUUUCUAGUUAUUGACAAUGAUUCUUAGCUUCAAAAACUUAGAGUUGAUCUUGAACACCUUGAACUUCUCUUUAAAAAAUGCAUUUAAUUUUAGCCAAACAAUACAUGAAAAUGGAUAAACAAAAAAUCACCCAGGAAGACUUUUAAUGACAAGCAAUUCAUCUCUUCUUUGUCUCCUUCCUUCUACGUCAAAUUUCUUCUCUUUUAGCUUUUUCUCUCAGUGAUUAUACCCAUAUAAGCACAUUUACCUAGGCUGCUCAGUCUUGGGUUCUGAAAGUUGGCCCCCAGCCAUGUAAGGGAGAGGGAUUUAGUUGUAUUUCACUACUCAGUACCUCCUCUGCUUCAUUAUUCCAUGAGUUAUAAAAUGUGGUAUAAUCAACAAAGUAGGGAAAUGAGUAUGGAGUGUUUACAACAGUAUGAUCAUAUAAUGUUCACUACGAGGUUAAAUGGCACGUCAUGAUUGACUAUCGUUCCCUUAGGAAUUUUGCUUUUUACUGGAGUUUCUGAUCUUUGCUUACUGCAUGGUGCUCUAACAAAAAAAAAAAUGUGUGUUGUUUUACUAAUUUAUGUGGUUUAUUCUUUUUGUUUGUUUGUUUUGAACUUUUAAUGACAUAUCUCUCACAUUGGAAUCCAGGAAAAAUUCCUGGGGAGGGGGCAUUAUAUUUAUCUUCUUUCCUUUGCUUUUUUGCAAUUCUUGAACAUUUAUACAAGGUGAACAAAUUUUGCAUCUACCGCUUUAGGAGCACACGGAUACUUCUUCCCUCCUGCCCAUACUUCCACCCCCCUUCCUGUCUUAUUUUUCCUUUUAAUUUUUACAGUAAUAUACUUGUCCUGUGAAAUACAUGAAAUCUGUUUUGUUUAUAUUAAUAAACAUUGAAAAAAUAAAG